CCCCUUUCAGGGUCGCAUCUGGAGGGUUUCCAGCACCCUAUCAGUCUUGACUAUGGGAGGGAGAGUCGAGCAGGGGCAUAUCCAUUCCAUUCCUAGCUUGGGCAGUGGCUAGCGAGUGGAAGGCAAUCUGCCACAGAC